AUUGAACGCUGGCGGCAUGCCUUACACAUGCAAGUCGAACGGCAGUACGGGUGCUUGCACCUGGUGGCGAGUGGCGAACGGGUGAGUAAUACAUCGGAACAUGUCCUGUAGUGGGGGAUAGCCCGGCGAAAGCCGGAUUAAUACCGCAUACGAUCUACGGAUGAAAGCGGGGGACCUUCGGGCCUCGCGCUAUAGGGUUGGCCGAUGGCUGAUUAGCUAGUUGGUGGGGUAAAGGCCUACCAAGGCGACGAUCAGUAGCUGGUCUGAGAGGACGACCAGCCACACUGGGACUGAGACACGGCCCAGACUCCUACGGGAGGCAGCAGUGGGGAAUUUUGGACAAUGGGCGAAAGCCUGAUCCAGCAAUGCCGCGUGUGUGAAGAAGGCCUUCGGGUUGUAAAGCACUUUUGUCCGGAAAGAAAUCCUUGGCCCUAAUACGGUCGGGGGAUGACGGUACCGGAAGAAUAAGCACCGGCUAACUACGU
rnacentral:rRNA from 1 species